rnacentral:rRNA from 1 species
GAUGAACGCUGGCGGCGUGCCUAACACAUGCAAGUCGAACGGACAGACGAUGAGCUUGUUCCUUUGACGUUAGCGGCGGGCGGGUGAGUAACGCGUGGAUCACCUACCUAUAUUUCUGGGAUAAUUACGGAAAUCCGGAUCUUGUAACAUAGAAUAUAUUGUACCGUGGGGUGCAAUGGAGAGUGGCGGUUUUGGCGGAUGUACUAGCUGGUUCCGCGCCGGAUUAGCUAGUUGGUAAGGUAACAGCUUAUCAAGGGGACGAUGCGUAGCCGAACUGAGGGGCUGAUCGGCCACCCUGGAACUGAGACACGGUCCAGACUCCUACGGGAGGCAGCAGUAGGGUAUGUUGGGCAAUGGGCGCAAGCAUGACGCAGCGACCCCGCGUGAGUGAUGAAGGCCUUCGGAUCGUAAAGCCCUCUUGUUGGGGAAGAACAGCUGUGGAAUUAUCCAUAGCCGUCUUGACGGUACCGAAUGAAAAAGCACCGGCUAACUACGUG